rnacentral:rRNA from 1 species
GAUGAACGCUAGCGGCAGGCUUAAUACAUGCAAGUCGAGGGGCAGCAGUCCCGCAGCAAUGCGGGAGCUGGCGACCGGCAAACGGGUGCGGAACACGUACAGAACCUUCCUUCGAGCGGGGAAUAGCCCAGAGAAAUUUGGAUUAAUACCCCAUAGCAUUACGAAGUGGCAUCACUUUGUAAUUAAAGAUUUAUCACUCGAAGAUGGCUGUGCGGCUGAUAGGUAGUUGGCGGAGUAACGGCCCACCAAGCCUUCGAUCAGUAACUGGUGUGAGAGCACGACCAGUCACACGGGCACUGAGACACGGGCCCGACUCCUACGGGAGGCAGCAGUAAGAAUAUUGGUCAAUGGACGAAAGUCUGAACCAGCCAUGCCGCGUGGAGGAUGAAGGUCCUCUGGAUU